rnacentral:snoRNA from 1 species
CCCCUCUCAGGGUCGCACCUGGAGAGUUUCCAGUAGUCUACCAGUCUCGGCUGUGGGAGGGAGAGUCGAGCAGAAGCGUACCCAUUCCAUUCCUAGCUCGGGCAGGGGCUAGCGAGUGGAAAGCAAUCUGCUACAAUC